UACGAAGGGGGCUAGCGUUGCUCGGAAUGACUGGGCGUAAAGGGCGCGUAGGCGGUUUGUACAGUCAGGUGUGAAAUUCCCGGGCUCAACCUGGGGGCUGCACUUGAUACGUAUGGACUGGAGUGGGGAAGAGGGUCGUGGAAUUCCCAGUGUAGAGGUGAAAUUCGUAGAUAUUGGGAAGAACACCGGUGGCGAGGCGGC
rnacentral:rRNA from 1 species